AAGUGAGAAGCAAAAUUUGCAAUCAGUUUCGACCUGAUCCUUGAUAAGAUCUUUAUCCUCACUUU
rnacentral:tRNA from 1 species